AGGGAUAUGAUGUCAACGGCAGCAUAACGGUCUCCAAAACCGAUUGUUCGGGUUCGAAUCCUGAUAUCCCUGCCA
rnacentral:tRNA from 1 species